rnacentral:rRNA from 1 species
GAGGAAUAAGCAUCGGCUAACUCCGUGCCAGCAGCCGCGGUAAUACGGGGGAUGCAAGCGUUAUCCGGAAUCAUUGGGCGUAAAGCGCCUGUAGGUUGUUUAAUAAGUCUGUUGUUAAAGACUAGGGCUUAACCCUAGAAAAGCAAUGGAAACUACUAGACUAGAGUAUGGCAGGGGUAGAGGGAAUUUCUAGUGUAGCGGUGAAAUGCGUAGAUAUUAGAAAGAACACCGGUGGCGAAAGCGCUCUACUGGACCAUUACUGACACUCAGAGGCGAAAGCUAGGGUAGCAAAAGGGAUUAGAUACCCCUGUAGUCCUAGCCGUAAACGAUGGAUACUACAUGUUGUGCAUUAUGUACAGUAUGGUAGCUAACGCGUUAAGUAUCCCGCCUGGGGAGUACGCUCGCCAGGGUGAAACUCAAAGGAAUUGACGGGGGCCCGCACAAGCGGUGGAGCAUGUGGUUUAAUUCGAUGCAACGCGAAGAACCUUACCAGGACUUGACAUACUACAAAUUCUUUUGAGAAAAAGAAGUGCCUUCGGGAAUGUAGAUACAGGUGGUGCAUGGCUGUCGUCAGCUCGUGUCGUGAGAUGUUGGGUUAAGUCCCGCAACGAGCGCAACCCUUAUUUUUAGUUACCAAUUCGUUGGGUUCUCUAGAAAGACUGCCGGUGACAGACCGGAGGAAGGUGAGGAUGACGUCAAGUCAGCAUGCCCCUUAUGUCCUGGGCUACACACGUGCUACAAUGGUUAAGACAAAGAGUCGCGAGCUCGUGAGAGUCAGCUAAUCUCAUAAACUUAGCCCAAGUUCAGAUUGUAGGCUGCAACUCGCCUACAUGA